UACGUAGGUGACCAGCGUUGUCCGGAUUUACUGGGCAUAAAGAGCGCGCAGGCGGUCGUUCAAGUCGAGUGUGAAAGCCCCCGGCUCAACUGGGGAGGGUCACUUGAUACUGAUCGACUCGAAGGCAGGAGAGGGAAGCGGAAUUCCCGGUGUAGUGGUGAAAUGCGUAGAUAUCGGGAGGAACACCAGUGGCGAAGGCGGCUUCCUGGCCUGUUCUUGACGCUGAGGCGCGAAAGCUAGGGGAGCAAACGGG
rnacentral:rRNA from 1 species